UACGUAGGGUGCAAGCGUUAAUCGGAAUUACUGGGCGUAAAGCGUGCGCAGGCGGCUAUGCAAGACAGAUGUGAAAUCCCCGGGCUCAACCUGGGAACUGCAUUUGUGACUGCAUGGCUAGAGUACGGUAGAGGGGGAUGGAAUUCCGCGUGUAGCAGUGAAAUGCGUAGAUAUGCGGAGGAACACCGAUGGCGAAGGCGGCUACCUGGCCCACUCUUGACGCUGAGGCGCGAAAGCUAGGGGAGCAAACGGG
rnacentral:rRNA from 1 species